ensembl:lncRNA
GGAAGGGGAGAUGUCACAGUCCCAGCAGUGGCAGGAGGCAGGAGGGAGCUGUGACCCCAUCCUUGCCUCCCUGUUCUUCACCCAGAGCUGCUCUGAGCCCCUGUGUGGUCUUGUGGUGCAGAUAAUGGAGACCAGAAACACGAAUCUUCCUGGAAUGAGCCCCACCAGACAAGCUCUCCUCAGGCUGCCCUUGCUGUACCCUCCUGUGGGACAAACAGCCUCAGACGCGAGGCGACAGAGUGUGUGGGAAGACAACAUCAAAGCCAGGGCUUGUUACAGACCCUUCCUUGAGUCCUGUCAUCUCAGGAGUGGGCUGGACACCCCGGUGGCAAAACCACCACAUUUCCACAGGAUGGGAUUUAUAUGGUCUGGGGAUUUGUGUAGCAGCUCUGGAAGAAACCAUCAAAGGAAGGACAGCUGGUUACAGGAACAGAUAAGGAGGUAUGUACCACAGAAUAAGGAAAACAAGGGGGAGCUGGUGAUUUAUGUGCAGUGGAAAUCAGU